AUUGAACGCUGGCGGCAGGCCUAACACAUGCAAGUCGAACGAGCGGCGGACGGGUGAGUAAUGUCUGGGAAACUGCCCGAUGGAGGGGGAUAACUACUGGAAACAGUGGCUAAUACCGCAUACCAUCGGAUGUGCCCAGAUGGGAUUAGCUAGUAGGUGGGGUAACGGCUCACCUAGGCGACGAUCCCUAGCUGGUCUGAGAGGAUGACCAGCCACACUGGAACUGAGACACGGGCCAGACUCCUACGGGAGGCAGCAGUGGGGAAUAUGGCACAAUGGGCGCAAGCCUGAUGCAGCCAUGCCGCGUGUAUGAAGAAGGCCUUAGGGUUGUAAAGUACUUUCAGCGGGGAGGCGUUACUCGCAGAAGAAGCACCGGCUAACUCCGUGCCAGCAGCCGCGGUAAUUC
rnacentral:rRNA from 1 species